AAACGGUCAAUAGGUUGGGGAAAAGUA
rnacentral:sRNA from 1 species